rnacentral:rRNA from 1 species
GCUGUCACUCCUACGGGAGGCAGCAGUGGGGAAUAUUGCACAAUGGGCGCAAGCCUGAUGCAGCCAUGCCGCGUGUAUGAAGAAGGCCUUCGGGUUGUAAAGUACUUUCAGCAGUGAGGAAGGCGGGUACGUUAAUAGCGUGCUCGUUUGACGUUAGCUGCAGAAGAAGCACCGGCUAACUCCGUGCCAGCAGCCGCGGUAAUACGGAGGGUGCGAGCGUUAAUCGGAAUUACUGGGCGUAAAGCGCAUGCAGGUGGUUUGUUAAGUCAGAUGUGAAAGCCCGGGGCUCAACCUCGGAAUUGCAUUUGAAACUGGCAGACUAGAGUACUGUAGAGGGGGUAGAAUUUCAGGUGUAGCGGUGAAAAUGCGUAGAGAUCUGAAGGAAUACCGGUGGCGAAGGCGGCCCCCUGGACAGAUACUGACACUCAGAUGCGAAAGCGUGGGGAGCAAACAGGAUUAGAUACCCUGGUAG